AGUGAACGCUGGCGGUAGGCCUAACACAUGCAAGUCGAACGGCAGCACAGUAAGAGCUUGCUCUUACGGGUGGCGAGUGGCGGACGGGUGAGGAAUACAUCGGAAUCUACUUUUUCGUGGGGGAUAACGUAGGGAAACUUACGCUAAUACCGCAUACGACCUACGGGUGAAAGCAGGGGAUCUUCGGACCUUGCGCGAUUGAAUGAGCCGAUGUCGGAUUAGCUAGUUGGCGGGGUAAAGGCCCACCAAGGCGACGAUCCGUAGCUGGUCUGAGAGGAUGAUCCGCCAAACUUGAACCUAGCCACCUUCCAGACUCCUAACGGAAGCGGCAGUGGGGAAUAUUGGACAAUGGGCGCAAGCCUGAUCCAGCCAUACCGCGUGGGUGAAGAAGGCCUUCGGGUUGUAAAGCCCUUUUGUUGGGAAAGAAAAGCAGCAGGUUAAUACCCCGCUGUUCUGACGGUACCCAAAGAAUAAGCACCGGCUAACUUCGUG
rnacentral:rRNA from 1 species